CCUACGGGAGGCAGCAGUAGGGAAUCUUUCACAAUGGGCGAAAGCCUGAUGGAGCAACGCCGCGUGCAGGAUGAAGGCCUUCGGGUUGUAAACUGCUUUUAUAAGCGAGAAAUAUGAUGGUAACUUAUGAAUAAGGAUCGGCUAACUACGUGCCAGCAGCCGCGGUCAUACGUAGGAUCCGAGCAUUAUCCGGAGUGACUGGGUGUAAAGAGUUGCGUAGGUGGCAUAAUAAGUAGCUAGUGAAAUCUGGUGGCUCAACCAUUCAGACUAUUAGCUAAACUGUUAAGCUCGAGACCGUUAGGGGUAACUGGAAGUUCUAGUGGAGGAGUGAAAUCCGUAGAUAUUAGAAGGAACACCAAUAGCGUAGGCAGGUUGCUGGGACGGUUCUGACACUAAGGCACGAAAGCGUAGGGAGCAAACAGGAUUAGAUACCCUUGUAGUC
rnacentral:rRNA from 1 species